GAGCUUGCUCCCUGAUGUUAGCGGCGGACGGGUGUAGUAACACGUGGGUAACCUGCCUGUAAGACUGGGAUAACUCCGGGAAACCGGGGCUAAUACCGGAUGGUUGUUUGAACCGCAUGGUUCAGACAUAAAAGGUGGCUUCGGCUACCACUUACAGAUGGACCCGCGGCGCAUUAGCUAGUUGGUGAGGUAACGGCUCACCAAGGCGACGAUGCGUAGCCGACCUGAGAGGGUGAUCGGCCACACUGGGACUGAGACACGGCCCAGACUCCUACGGGAGGCAGCAGUAGGGAAUCUUCCGCAAUGGACGAAAGUCUGACGGAGCAACGCCGCGUGAGUGAUGAAGGUUUUCGGAUCGUAAAGCUCUGUUGUUAGGGAAGAACAAGUGCCGUUCAAAUAGGGCGGCACCUUGACGGUACCUAACCAGAAAGCCACGGCUAACUACGUGCCAGCAGCCGCGGUAAUACGUAGGUGGCAAGCGUUGUCCGGAAUUAUUGGGCGUAAAGGGCUCGCAGGCGGUUUCUUAAGUCUGAUGUGAAAGCCCCCGGCUCAACCGGGGAGGGUCAUUGGAAACUGGGGAACUUGAGUGCAGAAGAGGAGAGUGGAAUUCCACGUGUAGCGGUGAAAUGCGUAGAGAUGUGGAGGAACACCAGUGGCGAAAGGCGACUCUCUGGUCUGUAACUGACGCUGAGGAGCGAAAGCGUGGGGAGCGAACAGGAUUAGAUACCCUGGUAGUCCACGCCGUAAACGAUGAGUGCUAAGUGUUAGGGGGUUUCCGCCCCUUAGUGCUGCAGCUAACGCAUUAAGCACUCCGCCUGGGGAGUACGGUCGCAAGACUGAAACUCAAAGGGAAUUUGACGGGGGCCCGCACAAGCGGUGGAGCAUGUGGUUUAAUUCGAAGCAACGCGAAGAACCUUACCAGGUCUUGACAUCCUCUGACAAUCCUAGAGAUAGGACGUCCCCUUCGGGGGCAGAGUGACAGGUGGUGCAAUGGUUGUCGUCAGCUCGUGUCGUGAGAUGUUGGGUUAAGUCCCGCAACGAGCGCAACCCUUGAUCUUAGUUGCCAGCAUUCAGUUGGGCACUCUAAGGUGACUGCCGGUGACAAA
rnacentral:rRNA from 1 species